rnacentral:rRNA from 1 species
UACGGGGGGAGCAAGCGUUGUUCGGAUUUACUGGGCGUAAAGGGCGCGUAGGCGGCCUCUGCAAGUCGACUGUGAAAUCUCCGGGCUUAACCCGGAAAGGUCAGCCGAUACUGCAGGGCUAGAGUGCAGAAGGGGCAACUGGAAUUCUCGGUGUAGCGGUGAAAUGCGUAGAUAUCGAGAGGAACACCUGCGGCGAAGGCGGGUUGCUGGGCUGACACUGACGCUGAGGCGCGAAAGCUAGGGGAGCAAACAGG